GACGAACGCUGGCGGCGUGCUUAACACAUGCAAGUCGAACGCUGAAGCCCUUCGGGGUGGAUGAGUGGCGAACGGGUGAGUAACACGUGGGUAAUCUGCCCUGCACUCUGGGAUAAGCCUUGGAAACGGGGUCUAAUACCGGAUAGGACACAUCGCCGCAUGGUGUGUGUGGAAAGUUCCGGCGGUGCAGGUUGAGCCCGCGGCCUAUCAGCUUGUUGGUGGGGUGAUGGCCUACCAAGGCGACGACGGGUAGCCGGCCUGAGAGGGUGACCGGCCACACUGGGACUGAGACACGGCCCAGACUCCUACGGGAGGCAGCAGUGGGGAAUCUUGCGCAAUGGGCGAAAGCCUGACGCAGCAACGCCGCGUGGGGGAUGACGGCCUUCGGGUUGUAAACCUCUUUCGACCGGGACGAAGGAUUCGUUUGACGGUACCGGCAGAAGAAGCACCGGCUAACUACGUGCCAGCCGCCGCAGUAA
rnacentral:rRNA from 1 species